GCAGAAGUAUAAAUCCGCCUUCACACUGCGGCCUAAGACUAUUUACUCAUUGAAGCUAAGCAGGCCUGAGCCUGAUCAAUACCUGAAUGGGAGACCACAUGGGAAAACUAGGUUGCUGUUGGA
ensembl:rRNA 5S_rRNA 5S ribosomal RNA